rnacentral:rRNA from 1 species
GUAACGCGUGAGUAACCUGGCCUUCAAGAGGGGGAUAACAUUCUGAAAAGAAUGCUAAUACCGCAUGACAUAUCGGAACCACAUGGUUUUGAUAUCAAAGAUUUUAUCGCUUGAAGAUGGACUCGCGUCCGAUUAGUUAGUUGGUGAGGUAACGGCUCACCAAGACCGCGAUCGGUAGCCGGACUGAGAGGUUGAACGGCCACAUUGGGACUGAGACACGGCCCAGACUCCUACGGGAGGCAGCAUG